CAAGUACUCCCUCUGUCCGGUAUUAUUUGUCAUCAAAAUGGAUGUGUCUAGAACUAAAAUACACCUAGAUACAUCCAUUUCAAUGACAAGUUUUUUUGGACGGAGGGAGUACAAG
rfam:Triticum aestivum genome assembly, contig: Triticum_aestivum_CS42_TGACv1_scaffold_233562_3B